rnacentral:rRNA from 1 species
GAUGAACGCUGGCGGCGUGCCUAAUACAUGCAAGUCGAGCGAACAGACGAGGAGCUUGCUCCUCUGACGUUAGCGGCGGACGGGUGAGUAACACGUGGAUAACCUACCUAUAAGACUGGGAUAACUUCGGGAAACCGGAGCUAAUACCGGAUAAUAUAUUGAACCGCAUGGUUCAAUAGUGAAAGACGGUUUUGCUGUCACUUAUAGAUGGAUCCGCGCCGCGUUAGCUAGUUGGUAAGGUAACGGCUUUCAAAGGCAACGAUGCGUAGCCGACCUGAGAGGGUGAUCGGCCACACUGGAACUGAGACACGGUCCAGAAUCCUACGGGAGGCAGCAGUAGGGAAUCUUCCGCAAUGGGCGAAAGCCUGACGGAGCAACGCCGCGUGAGUGAUGAAGGUCUUCGGAUCGUAAAACUCUGUUAUUAGGGAAGAACAAAUGUGUAAGUAACUAUGCACGUCUUGACGGUACCUAAUCAGAAAGCCACGGCUAACUACGUG